rnacentral:rRNA from 1 species
CAGUAGCCACGGGAAUACGAAGGGUGCAAGCGUUACUCGGAAUUACUGGGCGUAAAGCGUGCGUAGGUGGUGGUUUAAGUCCGUUGUGAAAGCCCUGGGCUCAACCUGGGAAUUGCAGUGGAUACUGGGUCACUAGAGUGUGGUAGAGGAUAGUGGAAUUUCCGGUGUAGCAGUGAAAUGCGUAGAGAUCGGAAGGAACAUCUGUGGCGAAGGCGACUAUCUGGGCCAACACUGACACUGAGGCACGAAAGCGUGGGGAGCAAACAGGAUUAGAUACCCCAGUAGUCCUGUCUCUUAUACA